rnacentral:rRNA from 1 species
CACCUGAACCCCUGCCGAACUCAGAAGUGAAACGCCGUAGCGCCGAUGGUAGUGUGGGGUCUCCCCAUGUGAGAGUAGGGAACUGCCAGGC